CCUACGGGAGGCAGCAGUGAGGAAUAUUGGUCAAUGGGCGGGAGCCUGAACCAGCCAAGUCGCGUGAGGGACGACGGUCCUAUGGAUUGUAAACCUCUUUUGUCGGGGAACAAAGGCGUCCACGGGUGGGCGGAUGAGUGUACCCGAAGAAAAAGCAUCGGCUAACUCCGUGCCAGCAGCCGCGGUAAUACGGAGGAUGCGAGCGUUAUCCGGAUUUAUUGGGUUUAAAGGGUGCGUAGGCGGACAGUCAAGUCAGCGGUAAAAGCCCGAAGCUAAACUUCGGUAAGCCGUGGAAACCGAGCAGCUAGAGUGCAGUAGAGGAUCGUGGAAUUCCAUGUGUAGCGGUGAAAUGCGUAGAUAUAUGGAGGAACACCAGUGGCGAAGGCGACGAUCUGGGCUGCAACUGACGCUCAGUCCCGAAAGCGUGGGGAGCAAAUAGGAUUAGAUACCCUAGUAGUC
rnacentral:rRNA from 1 species